CUUUCAGAGAGUUUGAUCCUGGCUCAGGAUGAACGCUGGCGGCGUGUCUAAGGCAUGCAAGUCGAAUGUGUACCUUCGGGUAUGCAUGGCAAACGGGAGAGUAACACAUUGGUAAUCUGCCCCGAGGACGAGAAUAACCCGGAGAAAUCCGAGAUAAUACUCGAUAAUAGUGGGGGGUCUUAUGACAUUCCCACUUAAAGUUCAGGCGCCUCGGGAGGAGCCUAUGACCUAUCAGCUUGUUGGUUGGGGUAAAAGCCCACCAAGGCUACGACGGGUACCGGGUGUGAGAGCAUGACCCGGCUCACUGGGACUGAGAAACUGCCCAGACUCCUACGGGAGGCUGCAGUCAAGAAUCUUCCACAAUGGCCGAAAGGCUGAUGGAGCGACGCCGCGUGUAUGAAGAAGCCCUUCGGGGUGUAAAAUACUUUUAUGUGGGACGAAACAAUGACGGUACCACAAGAAUAAGGGGCUGCUAACUUCGUGCCAGCAGCAGCGGUAAUACGAAGGCCCCUAGCGUUAUCCGGAUUUAUUGGGCGUAAAGGGUCUGUAGGCGGUUUAUUACAUCUCCUGUUAAAUCCCAAGGCUUAACCUUGGAACCGCGGGAGACAUGGGUAAACUAGAGGCCGGUAGAGGCAAGCGGAAUUGUCGGUGUAGGGGUUAAAUCCGUUAAUAUCGACAGGAACACCAAAUGCGAAGGCAGCUUGCUAGAACGAGCCUGACGCUAAAAGACGAAAGCGUGGGUAGCGAAUGGGAUUAGAUACCCCAGUAGUCCACGCCGUAAACGAUGGAUGCUAAGCAUUGGAAGUAUCGACCCUUCCAGUGUUGUUCACUUAAGCUAACGCCUUAAGCAUCCCGCCUGGGGAGUACGGCCGCAAGGCUAAAACUCAAAGGAAUAGACGGGGACCCGCACAAGCGGUGGAGCAUGCGGUUUAAUUCGA
rnacentral:rRNA from 1 species